UACGUAGGUGGCAAGCGUUAUCCGGAUUUACUGGGUGUAAAGGGCGUGUAGGCGGGAGAGCAAGUCAGACGUGAAAUUCCAGGGCUCAACCCUGGAACUGCGUUUGAAACUGUUCUUCUUGAGUGAUGGAGAGGCAGGCGGAAUUCCGUGUGUAGCGGUGAAAUGCGUAGAUAUACGGAGGAACACCAGUGGCGAAGGCGGCCUACUGGACGGUGACUGACGCUGGGGCUCGAAAGCGUGGGGAGCAAACAGG
rnacentral:rRNA from 1 species